GCCAACUUGCUGGCCAAUUCAUUUCCUAUUUAAUUUAAGUGGCAUAUCUGUCUUCCCCUUUCUGGUAUGUCUUUUGUCUGCUGCACACCCAUACUGGCAUGGCAAGAGACGCCUGCAGUAGAUCUUUUCAGGUACUCUUGGUUUUAAAACAACUCACCAUAAGAAGCAGAGCUGAUGGUCAGAGCACAGGUGUUGGGGCCACACUCUUAAAUCCCUUCCCAUAGUGUGUCAGUUCAUGGUAGAACUUUGGAGAACAAAGAAGGUGGAUCCACUGUUGUGAAGAGCCCAUGGGGUGAAGAUCCACCUCAAGAAGGUCAACUUCUCAGCGGUCAAAUCAUUCAGAUGUCCAGAUGCAGGCACGACAUUGCAGACACACAGUUCCAGGGAAUGCAUACUGCUCGGUGGAGAACCGGGUCCUCAGAGAUCACAGCUGCUAUGAGAACAUCCAUCACUCAAUGGCAGAUCAGAGCUAUCCAGUCCAGUGCAUGCACUGACACAGCUUUUUUACAUUCUGUUGAAGAUCCUGUUAACAAGCAUGAUGUCCACAGCAGAGGAAAUUACUUGAAGUUUGUAAAAUGAGCCAAGGAAGGUGCACAUUACUAAUCACAUAAAAUAAAAUAAUUUUCACUUGUUAGGGUUUAUAUAGUACAUAGAAAAAGCUAUGGUUUGGGCAUAUAAUAACAAUGGCUAUGGGGGUUGAAUUACUUUUCUCUGGGCAUCAAGAGAAAAGUUGCAGUAGUUCUACUGCAAAAUGAAUUCAUCCCUCAAAUGCAUUCAGGCAUCAAAAGCAAUUCCUACUGUUUUAGGAUAUGAAAAAUUGAUUUGAAAUAUUCAGCAGCAUAAAAAAAAAUAUCUGUAACCACAUUGGUAGAUGUCUUUGUCUAGUAUGUGCAUUCGGAAAAUUGGGAGCAUUUCUUUAGCACUUUCCACUUUAAAAAAACAGAAUAUUUAAAUGGCAAACAUGAAGCUGUCAGCCCAUGCAGUUUCACUGUGGGGAGGUUAUCACAUGAAGCUUUUCUGUGUUAUUCAUUGCUUGCAGCUCUUCCAAUCAGAUAACCUUAACAAACGUGGUGCUAUCACUUGCCAGAUGUGGUACAUGCUAUGCAAUGUCUAGUUUUUGAUGGACUAAAAUGGAGCUGAGAAUUCUUCUCUUGAUGUUAUCAAUAAUCAGUCACACUAUGAGAUUCACAAAGAGUAUCUCAAAGUGUGCUGUCAAGUGCCAAUUAGUGAUGUUGCUGACCCAAAAGAUAAAGAAGAUUGUAGAAGAAGCAGCCCAGUAUAAUUCUCCACUCCAGUGUCCUUAAAGUGGACUAUCGUUUAUGAAUGUACUCUUGCAGAUGAAAAGGAAAUAGGAGGUCAGUGGUUCCUGUCUUAAACAAUCUUCUGCAAUCUUCUCAUAAUGAAUUGUAAAUAGUAUCACUAUCAACUUGCUCUUUCUGCACUGGAGAGCAGUGCAAAUGGCUCAGCAAAGCCAAACACUGAUAAUAUUGUUUCCCAGGACAUAGAGCUGAAGGCCAGACUCUGUCCUCCGCGUGUUGUGCCAUGUGUGGGUCUGCAUGGCUGGAGCUCAACCUGGGCUCUUGGGUGUCCUUCCUGCCUCGCCACGGCCCCCCACUUCCCCGUAGCCUUGGGGUACGUUCAUGUCACGUAGACUCUGGGCUGGAAAACUGAGCUCUUCAUCAUUUGAGGACAAUCUGAAGAUUGAUGAACAAUCAAUGGAAACAUCUUCCUUCUUCUCAAAGCAAUUCUCAGCACAAUCUGGCAAAAUGUCAUUAUCACUUAAUAUGGUUUUAUCAUGAGGUGUCCCUGCUUUCAGAACUGCAAAUGAUUUUUACAAGGUCAAAAGCAGAAUAUCAUGCCCAGGUGUUCACCAUUUUGAACUACAGAAUUAAAACCCCUUCUUAAAAAAACAAAUGUAGAGUGCUUUCCAUCUAAGGGUUACAGUAUCCAGUAGUCAGUGUAGAUAUAAUGCAUUAUUAAUUAGCAUAUACAAAUUCUAUUUAUAUUAAAAAAAGCUUGUUUAGUGAAGGAAACAUAAUUCCUGUUAUUACCAUCCUAAAUAGCAGAAAACAAAUAUUGCAUACAGAACUAAUAAAAAUACAGGAUAACAGCAACAAGUUUGGAGUAUAAUUGUACUCUACAGAUUUAUUUUUUUUUUUAUGUGGGACCACUAUUUUCCUGAUAAAUUAUGUAUGCUAACAGAAUCUUCCUGAGCAUACCUGUGUAUCUGAAUGGCAAUGUUCUGAAAGAGCAGUUUUGGAGAGACAUAUCAUAUGGAUCUAUGCAACAGGUUUGUGAAUUCUUAAAAUAUACGUGCAUGGUGGGAUCCAAAAUUGCUUCAGAGCUGCCUGGGCAAGCAUAAGAGGGUGCAAGGCUGUCCUUCACACCAUGGAGCCCCCAGACAGUUUGCUAUCAAACCAGCAAUGUAUAGUUACGCUCCAGAGUCCACUGAAGUUGAGGCAUCUCUCCAGUUCAAAUACCAUUGAAAGCAGAUAUUGCACAAACAUUAAACGAAGUUGGACAGACUUUCAGCUUAUUCAUAUGUUGGAUUCUAUGAGAACCCAGUGCAAACUUGUUGUCAAUACACGGAAGACCAGAUCAAGCUGGCCAACUAUGUCCCUGUGUCAUAAUUUAGCAUACGAGCAGAAUGAGUCCCUGGAAGGUGCCAGACAAUUAGAGGACAAGUCACAACAACAAAGGCAGUCCUAACCAGUGUGAACAUUUUUCAAGGUAUGGAAACAAUUUACAAUGUUUUCAGAACUGUGGUUCAGGUCAGUUCGUUUUUAUGCUCUCCCAUAUGGUUCUGCUCCUUCUAUUUCCAGAGUGAACCCUAUUUACCUGGACUGUUACUGAGAAAAAAUAUAUUGUUUGCAGAGAAAGGGAGAGUCAUCAAUAAAGAAAACUUCUCAGGAUA